CCGGAAGCGCCGGAGCCGCGCGGGGGUCGGGCCGGAGCGCGAGGGGCAGGCCGGCCUGCGAAGGCCCGGACGGGGCAACCGGCCAGGGAGCGAGGGAGGCAGCGGGCGGGGCUCCUGACGAAGCGGAUGUCAUGCUCAGGUGCGUAACCUUCUAACAUGGAAGACGGAGGUCAGAAAGAAGUCAUCGACUUGAAUAGUUUCCGGAGCCAUCGAGGGAAAGACAGAAUUAACCACCGAGACGAGGGACUCAUCACUAUAUCAGACUCCUCGGACGAAGAGUUGCCUGUUAUGUUGGACACACCUGUUCACCAGCAGUGGGAAGACGAGGAUGACGAAGACGUGGUCAUCUUGAUGGAGACAGCCACCAAGAAAUUUUUGCGGCCCAACGUCAUCAAGCCGGCCGCUCCCUGGCAAGCCAUUAACAAGACCGGGGAAGGAGGCUCUAAUGGCGAUGUGGUGGCCCUUCCUCACAAAGACCAGAAGACCAAACCUUCGACUUCUCCGAGGCUGCCUGGGGCCCGCCGGAACGGCCUGAUGGCGAGAACUGCGGGACCGGACAGACCGAGCCAGACCGAAGUCUUGGAGUUACCCGAUUCUCCGGAUCCCGUUGACCCCAGGGAGGUGAGUGGGACGGAGGCUGGGCCCAGUGUGGUUCCGAAGGGAGAAGUUGCCCCGGAGGUCAUUAAUUUAGAGGAAGCGAGGGCCGAUCGUGACCACCAAGAAGUGGAGAGAGAUCAGAGGCUUCAGCCGCAGCUGGCACCCAUCCUCGGGAGGGUUUUGCACUGCGUCAAGGAGAACAUGCGACUGGAUCAUCCCUACUUCCAGCCGGUGAAGAAGGAGGCACGGACUGCGGUCAAUCCUCUUCCUUCUCAGCCGGCACCGUUGGAAAGAGAACUGGGACCUUUGCCGAGGGAAUACCAAGGGGAGAUCCCCGGGCCAGCUUUUCCCAGGCCUGAGCCUCAGCAAGAUGGAAUCCCAGGACCCGCUUCCCCUCAACCAGCUCACCCCCCAGAGGAAGACGGAGGCCAGCAGGCGGUAAUCAACGAGCAGGCUGGUCCGGCGUUUCCAGUCCAAGGCUCGUUGGAUACCAGUUCCGGUGAGCUUCCCAAGCAGACGGCUACUCUGCAGGAUAAAGACCUCCUUGUGUUACUCACCCGAGAGACGGAAGCCAGGUUUCCAGAUGCAACGAGAGAGUACAUCGAAGAGCUGAUACAAAGCAAAAACUGCAACGACUUAAACAUACUUUGCAAUUUUCUCCUGGAAAAUCCAGAUUACCCAAAGAAGGAACUCACUAUGGUUUUAAAUCCAAAUAGCAGCCUCCUUUCCAGCCAAGACGAGACAAAGGUGCCUAAAGUGGACUAUUUUGACUUCUCCAAACUGGAUCCACUCGACCAACGUUGCUUCAUUCAAGCCGCUGACCUCCUCAUGGCCGACUUCAAAAUGCUGAGCAGCCAAGACAUCAAGUGGGCCCUCCAUGAACUCAAAGGACACUAUGCAAUCACACGAAAGGCCUUUUCCGAUGCCAUCAAAAAAUGGCAGGAGUUGUCUCCCGAAACCAGCGGGAAGCGAAAAAGGAGGAAAGAAAUGAAUCAGUAUUCGUACAUAGACUUCAAAUUUGAGCAGGGUGACACCAAGAUUGAGAAGCGCAUGUUUUUCUUGGAGAACAAGAGGCGCCACUGGAGGAGUUACGACCAGCUCUCCCUCCUGCCCCCGGUGCAGCUGGAGAGGGAGUUUUACGAACAGAAGAUCAAAGAAAUGGCAGAGCAUGCAGACUUCCUCCUUGCCCUGCAGAUGAACGAGGAGCAGUAUCAAAAAGAUGGCCAGCUGAUCGAAUGCCGCUGCUGCUACGGGGAAUUUGCGUUCGAAGAGCUGACGCAGUGCGCCGACGGACACCUAUUCUGCAAGGAAUGCUUAAUAAAAUACGCUCAGGAGGCCGUCUUUGGCUCCGGGAAGUCGGAGCUCAGUUGCAUGGAAGGGAGCUGCACCUGUUCGUUCCCCACCACCGAACUGGAGAAAGUGCUUCCGGAAAACAUCCUUUGUAAAUACUACGAGAGGAAAGCCGAGGAGGAAGUGGCGGCUGCUUGCGCGGAUGAACUCGUCAGAUGUCCCUUUUGCAAUUUCCCAGCUCUGCUGGAUAAGGAGGUGAAGCGGUUCAGCUGUCCCAAUCCAUGCUGCAGGAAGGAAACCUGCAGAAAAUGCCAAGGUCUCUGGAAGGAACACAUGAACCUCAGUUGUGAACAGCUGGCUGAAAAGGACGACAUUAAAUACAGAACAUCCAUAGAAGAGAAGAUGACGGCGGCCCGCAUCAGGAAGUGCCACAAAUGCGCCACCGGCUUGAUCAAGUCGGAAGGCUGCAACCGCAUGUCUUGUCGUUGCGGGGCCCAGAUGUGCUACCUCUGCCGAGCUGCCAUUAACGGGUACGACCACUUCUGCCAGCACCCUCGUUCCCCGGGAGCCCCGUGUCAAGACUGUGCGAGGUGUUCCCUUUGGACCGACCCCACGGAGGACGAUGAGAAGAUAAUCCACGAAAUUCAGAAGGAAGCGGAAGAAGAACAAAAGAGGAAGAGCGGAGAAAACAGUUUUAAGCGGAUCGGGCCUCCGGCAGAGAAACCCGCAGAGAAGAUCCCGCGGAUCGAAGCCAUCCCCAGGCCGGUUCCCCAGAACUUCCACCACCACCACCAUCAUCACCACCAAAUGCGCCCCUACCCGUUCGGCCACCCCCCUUUCCCUCUCCCUCCGGUGCACCCCCUGUACAACAACCUCGGCCCCAUCAACCUCGGCCCCAUCCCGGCCCCUUACGUGCCUCCGCUCCCCAACAUGCGAGUGAACUACGACUUCCCCCCAAUGAACCUUCAGCUGGAGCACAACCUCCCUAUGCACUUCGGGCCUCAGCCUCGGCAUCGGUUCUGAUCCGCUUUCGGGGAAGGUCCUUUCCUGGAACUUGCUGCAGGGAAAGUCCACACACACUGGUUGUCGAUGCUCGCUCGCUCGACCCCUCCUCCCCUCCCCUCCCCACAAAAGCUACAUGUCCACCUUCGCCACCUGUUCCUUCUGCCUCCCUGGUUGCCUCCCAGUUCAGAAGUCCUUUUUUUUCCCCCCUGCCCACCGCUAGGUGCAGGGGAGCCCUAGUUUGCAAUAAGGGUUUUUUGUUUUUUUAAUCCCGGCACCGUUCAGUUUUCUCCAGGUGCUCUCGGUUUUUGAGAAGAGGGCUUCCGCAGGAGGAGGAGUGGGAGGGGUAUACAGCAUUGCCAAAUCAUCUCCUUCCGUAGCGGUAGGACCUCCCAACACCUCAACCCCAAGAAGAGGUUGAAAGUGGCGGCGGAGGAGGAGUUUGGAAUAUUUGCAACGCUCAGGUGGCGCUUCUCUUCCUGCCCAAAAAGCCAGGCGUGGCACGGGUGUGUGUGUGUGUGUGUGCUCUUCUUAGCUUAGAUCUUCCACAGCUUCCCUCUUCUGCUAGGAAAAGCAGGGGACCGAUGCCCUUCUUAAGCGGGUUGGAGACCCCUGUCCUAAAGCGAGCUGGGGGGAAACCCUCGGAUAAUUUGAUGAGCCUUGAUCACAGCUCAGCGGUGGGGCUGGGGCCUCCGGAAGCACAAAGCAGAUCAGCGUUAAUGUAGCCCAUGGAGGUUUUCUCUGUUGUGCAAUGGAAAUGAGAGCCCCAGCUGGAGGAAGCGAGGACAAACUGACUGGCCUACACAGAGGUCAAAAGUAUUGAGGUUCUGGGUGAAAGGCAGGUGUGCGAUUGGGUUGGGCCUCCUCCGCUUUUCUCUGCCGUUGCUCUCACGGCUAGGAGAACUGCCCCUAUGCGCCUUGGACCUUCCCCGCCCCCGCCCCCCAUCCCUUACCUGUGGGAGCACCUGGCUCUAAGCUCCCUUAUGCAUCCUCCAGCUCUCGAAGCCCAGGGGUGUGAACAGGUCACCAAGAAGCUAGAUCUGUGGUCUCAACAUUUAGGUCUUGGGUUCUUCCGCAGAACCGUUUUAAAGGGCCCACUUUAGAUCAGUGCUUCUCAACCCGAGCUGCUUUAAGAGGAGUGGGCUUUGACUCCCAGCUAUGGGAGUUGGAAGUCUGCCCAUCUUAAAAGCCCAGAAUUCCCAGCCAGCUAUGGGAGUUGAAGUCCACCCAACUUAAAGCCGCUAAGGUUGAGAAACAAUGGUUGAGUACAGGGGUCUCCAACCUUAGUAACUUUAACUCCCAGAGUUGAAGUCCACAAACCUUAAAGUUACUAAGGUUGGAGACCCCUGGUUUAGUAAGAUCAGUUGGAUGGAUGGAUAGAGCCUGUUCUCCAAAUAUUCCUGUCUCUCCCCCCCCCUCCCCCAGAUCUCCCCUUCCAUCUUCAGUACACCUGUACCCCCUUCGGUCCUCUGUGACUUUAAUACCUUCAUCUGGAAGAGGUGUGACCUCAGAAACAUGCCAGAAAGUUCCUGCGUGAUCAGCCACCCACACCAGAGCUCGGAGGACAAGGAAGUGAGCCGCACUCCGGCUGGCUCUCGUGAUUUCAGGAAGGAAAACUUCCUUGUCUUCAGAAACGGCUUCCCUUCCCAAAACCAGCAGCCACCCGUGUCAAGGUUGAUGACCUUUCUUCCGAAGAGUUUGGCCAGUAAGGGUCUUUCUCUCUCUCCCUGGGUCAGAAGCCUGGAAGCCAAAGGGCCUCUUGCAUCUUUGGUGGACGCCAGGUUGUGUGUGUGUGUGUGUGAAACAUUGCAGAAAAUGGCUUUCUUCUCUUCUAAAACCCUAAAUCCAACCGAGGGAAUCUUCCCUGCGGUUUUCCUUCGGGGCCUUGGCUCAGCUCAAGCAAUAGAAUACAAGUGACGGUUUUUGAACCAGGACUAGCUCUGUUUGUCUCCCAGAUUGCUCCCCUCCCUCCUUCAAUUUUUUUUUUAUUUUAUAUUUUUUAAAAAUUUCCUCCGUGAGAAAAAAAAAACAAAAAACUAUAUUCCUUGGAGGAGGACAGGAUUCUUUGGCUAUAACGAAAAGGCCCAUAAAUAUUGUCAUUUAUUCACCCUCCAUUAAGUGUGGAAAAGAAUCAGGGAAGGUGAAGCAGAGUGCUUGCUUUUCAAGGGUUUCCUCCCCGAUUCUAGCUACCUUCUUUCCUUUUAAACGAUAUUAUCAAACCAGCUUUUUAUGUUUGUUUCUUUGUUUUGUUUUCUCCUCCUGGAUAUCCAAGCAGUUGACCGUCUCCCCUUUCCUUCUGGACGUGAUCAUGCAACUCCCACUUUUCUUUAAAAUGAUUCUGAAAUAAAAUCAGGGAUGCUUUGAAUAGCUGCUCGCUUCCAAGGAAGAGCGCUCACAACCCCGUGUGCGUAGGUCUAGGGCAGGGGUCUGCAAACUUGGCUCUUGUAAGACUUGUGGAUUUCAACUCCCAGAGUCCCUCAGCCAGCAAAGUCUUAAAAGAGCCAAGUUUGCAGACCCCUGGUCUAGGUGGCCCACAGAAUCCCAAAUCAAUAAGGAUCGCUCAGACUAAUCAAUAGAUCAGAAUGUUCCCGUGGAAAAUUUUUGGACCCUUUUCCUUGGUGAGAAAGUGAUGUGCUUCAUGGUGAAAGUUUUGGGACCGGCUGGGAAUUUAAUCCCAUAGGAGCCAUAUAUUCCUGAAGUUCUUCCAUCCCAAAAUUUUUCUUUUUGUCUUCCAUUCCACAGGUUGCCAUUCCGGUCCCAUCUUAAGCCACGUUAGAUUCAAAAUUGUGGGGUUUUUUUCCCUUUGCUAUCGUUCGGCCAUGAAAACCAAGCCCACGGAACACGUUAAGUCCAAGCUGAUCCGAUAACUCUGCUUAUAUGGAUCUUAUUCAGGUUCUUAAAUCGGCACCUUAACCUUAAAUUGUUGGCUUCUUUGCGGUAGCAAUUGUUCUCUCUCUCUCUAUAUAUAUAUGUAGAAUAAUUUUGCUACCACUAAAACCCAAAAGGGACCCGUUCUCAUAGAAGUACUUGAGUUUAGAAAGACUCCUCAUUCCGAGGAAAUUGAGUUCUUUUGCAUCUUAAAGCUGCUUUUUUUCUUUUUAACAUAUUCUUGAUAGGUUUUGGCUAUUUGGGCUAGAUUUAAAGUGAAAAGGAUUUGCAUCCUCCUUUCUGCUCCUACAUCAUGGAACAGCUGAUGCAACAAUUCCCUUCUUCCUCUGCUUUGAGUUCCAGAAUAUUAGCUCAGCUUUUUCUGUUGGGUAAAGGCUGUGUGCAUUUACUCCUGGUUGUAGAAAACCCAACCCUGCCUCUUAAGAUUUCAUUCCUGUAAGGAUCUUGAACGAGGAGUUUGGAACAAGGUUGCCCGUAACAAGUGGGGAAGAAUUCUUUUAUCGUUUAACACAAGAGGUGUCCAACCUUGGCUAUGUUAAAAUCUAUGACUUCCAACUCCCACAAAUUCCCCAGGCAGCCAAGAUCCUUACGGAAAUGAAAUUCUGGGAAUUGGAAGUCCGCAGGUUUUAAAGGUUGCCGAAGUUGGAGGACAACCCCCCUCCCGAUUUAACUAAUUAAUUAACUAGUAAUUUCUAUUUCCAUUUCCUCUACUUGAAAAGCCCAGAUUCUCUCAUCACUACCUAUGCUCGCAUCUUCUGGAGAACUUCAGCUGGCCCACUCACGGUUUAGAAAAGGCUUUUGAGAGUUGUGGCCUUGGGACUAAGUCUCCCAAUACAUUUGAGGAAGAAACUAUGGGUAGGAAGGAGCCCAGAGCAUCGGGGAAGGUAUUCCUUGACAAAGACCUCUGACUUCCAGCAGCUCUUUGCUCUUUCUGAAAAUUACCUACAAGUUUCUCAGAAGAAGAAAGAAAGAGACUAUCCAAAACAGGGAUCUCCAACCUUGGCAACUUUAAGACUUGUGGACGUCAACUCCCAGAAUUCUGGGAGUUGACAUCCACAAGUCUUAAAGUUGCCAAGGUUGGAGACCCCUGAUCCAAAACAUGCAUCUCAAGGACAUCUUCCAGCUUAUCAAUUCCCACUGAGACGAUUACUUGGUCCGAUCUGUAGCAGGUAAUGUCCUACCAAACCCAUCUUCUUUUUAAAAAAUAAAUAAAUCAAUAAAUCCUUGAACUCUUCAAAACUUGAAGAUGGGGAGGUGUUUUGGCCACCCGUGCCUGUAGAGAUGGUGCAAAUAAAACUGGAGGCCAGCUGCAGUCUUAGAAGCCAGCUCUAGCCCUCAGCUAGAAAAAAAAGACUUAAUCCUAACCAAGGUGUGGCAAAAGAGAUUACAAACCCAACCAGCCUUCAGAUCUUUUAUUUUUCCCUUUCUGGAUUGGGUGGGGGGGCUCCAGCAAUACGAUCGAUUGAUUCAUCUGUUUUUCUCCUGCUUUGCUUUUUUUUUUAAGAAAACCAUGUUGUUGUUUUUUCCUCUUAAAACUCCUGGAUGUUGUUGGUUAGUCUACUGCGUUGUCUUUUUUUUCCCCUCUCUUUAAUCCGAAUCUUCCCUGAAUCUUUUAAACCCCAGAGGUCUCCAAUCUUGGCAGCUUUAAGACUUGUGGACUUCGGCUCCCAGAAUUCCUCAGGCAGCAAAGCAAAGCUGGCUGAGGAAUUGUGGGAGUUGAAGUACACAAGUCUUCCAAGUUGCCAAGUCUUAAAGCUGCUGAGAUUGGAGACCCCUGGUUUAAACGGAACAUGCCUACAAGUGGAAAGUUACUUGGGUGGAGAGUGGAAUUUGUGUGAGAUUCCAUUUUUGGGGGUUGUGGUGUUUUUUUUAUUGGUAGCUUCUUUUUUAUAUAUACAUAUAUAUAUGGUUUAUAGUAUCUAUCUCUCCAAAAGCAUUCAUCUGUUUACGGGUAGACAAGAAGAAGUGUAUGGAUUUCCGCCCCCUUUUGACAUUUUAAUAGGUACUUUCUAUUAUCAACUUUGCAGUGUUGCAUUUAACUUGCCUUAAAAGGUGGAGAGAGAAACUUAGCAUUUGCACUUAGCAAAAAAAAAAAAAAAGCGAGAGAAAUUAAUUUAAAGGAGCAAAACCCAAUCAACGGGAGAGCUGCAUGUUCUACAACUUUGUAUAACAUAGCUGAAAACUAAAAAAAAAAAAAAAAGAAGACGACCCAAAACCAGAAGAGAGAGAGAAAAAAAAAAAGAGAAUAUUUUUCUUUACCUUCUGGUAGGAAACCAUUCUAAUCCGCGUGUAAAAAGUUUCUGUAUUAUAUUGUAAUUUCGAUUUUUUUUUUGUAAUUAAAAGAAAAUUUGUG